rnacentral:rRNA from 1 species
AACAGGAAGCAGCUUGCUGCUUCGCUGACGAGUGGCGGACGGGUGAGUAAUGUCUGGGAAACUGCCUGAUGGAGGGGGAUAACUACUGGAAACGGUGGCUAAUACCGCAUAACGUCGCAAGACCAAAGAGGGGGACCUUCGGGCCUCUUGCCAUCAGAUGUGCCCAGAUGGGAUUAGCUUGUUGGUGAGGUAACGGCUCACCAAGGCGACGAUCCCUAGCUGGUCUGAGAGGAUGACCAGCCACACUGGAACUGAGACACGGUCCAGACUCCUACGGGAGGCAGCAGUGGGGAAUAUUGCACAAUGGGCGCAAGCCUGAUGCAGCCAUGCCGCGUGUAUGAAGAAGGCCUUCGGGUUGUAAAGUACUUUCAGCGGGGAGGAAGGUGUUGUGGUUAAUAACCGCAGCAAUUGACGUUACCCGCAGAAGAAGCACCGGCUAACUCCGUGCCAGCAGCCGCGGUAAUACGGAGGGUGCAAGCGUUAAUCGGAAUUACUGGGCGUAAAGCGCACGCAGGCGGUCUGUCAAGUCGGAUGUGAAAUCCCCGGGCUCAACCUGGGAACUGCAUUCGAAACUGGCAGGCUUGAGUCUUGUAGAGGGGGGUAGAAUUCCAGGUGUAGCGGUGAAAUGCGUAGAGAUCUGGAGGAAUACCGGUGGCGAAGGCGGCCCCCUGGACAAAGACUGACGCUCAGGUGCGAAAGCGUGGGGAGCAAACAGGAUUAGAUACCCUGGUAGUCCACGCCGUAAACGAUGUCUACUUGGAGGUUGUGCCCUUGAGGCGUGGCUUCCGGAGCUAACGCGUUAAGUAGACCGCCUGGGGAGUACGGCCGCAAGGUUAAAACUCAAAUGAAUUGACGGGGGCCCGCACAAGCGGUGGAGCAUGUGGUUUAAUUCGAUGCAACGCGAAGAACCUUACCUGGUCUUGACAUCCACAGAACUUUCCAGAGAUGGAUUGGUGCCUUCGGGAACUGUGAGACAGGUGCUGCAUGGCUGUCGUCAGCUCGUGUUGUGAAAUGUUGGGUUAAGUCCCGCAACGAGCGCAACCCUUAUCCUUUGUUGCCAGCGAUUAGG